GAUGAACGAUGGCGGCGUGCUUAACACAUGCAAGUCGAACGAAGCACUUUGGCGGAACUCUUCGGAGGGAAGUUUUUGUGACUGAGUGGCGGACGGGUGAGUAACGCGUGGGUAACCUGCCUUACACAGGGGGAUAACAGUUAGAAAUGACUGCUAAUACCGCAUGACCCGCUAGUACCGCAUGGUACAGACGGAAAAGAUUUAUCGGUGUAAGAUGGACCCGCGUCUGGUUAGCUAGUUGGUGAGGUAACGGCCCACCAAGGCGACGAUCAGUAGCCGGCUUGAGAGAGUGGACGGCCACAUUGGAACUGAGACACGGUCCAA
rnacentral:rRNA from 1 species